GAUGAACGCUGGCGGCGUGCCUAAUACAUGCAAGUCGAGCGAACAGACGAGGAGCUUGCUCCUCUGACGUUAGCGGCGGACGGGUGAGUAGCACGUGGAUAACCUACCUAUAAGACUGGGAUAACUUCGGGAAACCGGAGCUAAUACCGGAUAAUAUAUUGAACCGCAUGGUUCAAUAGUGAAAGACGGUUUUGCUGUCACUUAUAGAUGGAUCCGCGCCGCAUUAGCUAGUUGGUAAGGUAACGGCUUACCAAGGCAACGAUGCGUAGCCGACCUGAGAGGGUGAUCGGCCACACUGGAACUGAGACACGGUCCAGACUCCUACAGGAGGCAGCAGUAGGGAAUCUUCCGCAAUGGGCGAAAGCUUGACGGAGCAACGCCGCGUGAGUGAUGAAGGUCUUCGGAUCGUAAAACUCUGUUAUUAGGGAAGAACAAAUGUGUAAGUAACUAUGCACGUCUUGACGGUACCUAAUCAGAAAGCCACGGCUAACUACGUG
rnacentral:rRNA from 1 species